UACGUAGGGUGCGAGCGUUAAUCGGAAUUACUGGGCGUAAAGCGUGCGCAGGCGGUGAUGUAAGACAGCUGUGAAAUCCCCGGGCUCAACCUGGGAACUGCAUCUGUGACUGCAUCGCUGGAGUGCGGCAGAGGGGGAUGGAAUUCCGCGUGUAGCAGUGAAAUGCGUAGAUAUGCGGAGGAACACCGAUGGCGAAGGCAAUCCCCUGGGCCUGCACUGACGCUCAUGCACGAAAGCGUGGGAGCAACAGG
rnacentral:rRNA from 1 species